rnacentral:lncRNA from 1 species
AAUUCAUUCUCAACCACGUGAUUAACCCAUUUUAAUACACAAUCCACCAAUCGAGAAUAACAAAAAUUCACCAAUCAUGCUUAGCACAUCACACACCCAAAUGUCACCAAUAGUUCACAUCAACAAACAAACCACGGUAUCGAAUCACACGCAAUCACAAUCACAUAAGAAUUAAAUGAAAGAGAAGAAAGAAUUGGAC